GCCCGCGUAGUCAAGCGGACACGACGCGAUGCUUCGGACAUCGCGGCCCCGGUUCGAUUCCGGGCGCGGGCGC
rnacentral:tRNA from 1 species